UCCAAGAAGUUUAUCCUACCGGAGCAACUCUACUGUUGCCCAAGAAAAUAUUGUACCUUUUUGGAAAAAAUGUGUCCCUCAUCCCCAAAAUGUGUUUAUUGCUAAAACGCUUCUUGAUUUAUUAAGAGGCAACAAAUUGAAAAUAUUUGUUCAUCAUAAUAAUCUUACAGUUAGGGAAUGGAUUGAUUUAAGAUUACUUUUAGCGAAAGAAGAUGCAAAGAUAAAAAUCUUUCCUUGUAGACUCUCCUCAGUUGUUCUUUUGGAGAGCGAGUUUAAAGCGUUGGUUCCCUUUUUUGCGUCGAGUACUGCAGUGCUAACGAGUAAUAAUCCUUCUAAUCUACCUGGGAUUUUUAAUAUUAUUUCCAAACAUCCAAAGCUGUUGUCUCUAGGAAUGCAACUGGACGAAGUAAUUUUUACUGUUACGCAGAUGGUUGUUCUCGCUAAGCUUCCCCCCAUUGAAAUUUUGAGGGCUCAAUUAAUUUCUACAUUGGCAACACCUGUUAAGCGUACACUCUCACUAUUAUGCCAUAAU